rnacentral:rRNA from 1 species
ACUGGGAUUCCCCUAGUAAGGGCGACUGAAGCGGGAUCCAGCUCAUAUUGUGAAUCUGCGUAACCUCCUUUGGAGGCACGCCGAAUUGUGGUCUGAAGAGGUGACAUCGGUUGAUUGUUCUGGACCAAGUCCCUUGGUAUAGGGCAGCUGAGAGGGUGAAACUCCCGUUCUUGUCUAGAAUGAUUAACCUUAGCAUGUUGCUUCAACGAGUCGAUUUUCUUGGGAUUGAAGAUCAAAUUUGGAGGUAAAUUCCUUCUAAAGCUAAAUAUUGGUGGGAGACCGAUAGCGCACAAGUACCGUGAGGGAAAGAUGCAAAGAACUUUGAAAAGAGAGUUAAAGAGUACCUGAAAUUGCUGAAAUGGAAGCGAAUGAAACCAGUGUAAUGUUGUGUUAUAUUUCUCCUGUUGUUUACAGCAGGAGCACUGUGACAUGAUUGUGGUCAGCAUCAGUUUGUACUGUGGGUGAAAUAGUGGUUCAAGAGGUAGCUUCUUUGAAGUGUUAACUUGUUCCACUGAUCCUGCAGGAGACUGAGGUAGUCACUAUGUGCUCGUGAUGCUGACAAAAUGGUUUUAUUCUCCCCGUCUUGAAACACGGACCAAGGAGUCUUACAUAUGUGCGAGUAUUCGGGUGGCAAACCUGUAUGCGCAAUGAAAGUAUCAGUGGUUGGACCUUUUAGGGCACAAUCUGCCGGCCAAUAUCCUUCGGGAGAAAGGUCUGAGUGUGAGCACACAUGUAGGGACCCGAAAGAUGGUGAACUAUUCCUGAGUAGGGUGAAGCCAGGGGAAACUCUGGUGGAGGCCCGUAUGCGGCUCUGACGUGCAAAUCGAUCGUCGAACUUGGGUAUA